rnacentral:rRNA from 1 species
UACAGAGGGUGCAAGCGUUAAUCGGAUUUACUGGGCGUAAAGCGCGCGUAGGCGGCUAAUUAAGUCAAAAUGUGAAAUCCCCCGAGCUUAACUUGGGAAUUGCAUUCGAUACUGGUUAGCUAGAGUGUGGGAGAGGAUGGUAGAAUUCCAGGUGUAGCGGUGAAAUGCGUAGAGAUCUGGAGGAAUACCGAUGGCGAAGGCAGCCAUCUGGCCUAACACUGACGCUGAGGUGCGAAAGCAUGGGGAGCAAAGCGG